UAUCGACAGAAGACUGAGAGCUCAAAGCUGAAUGCAUGUUCAAGUAACCUUAGAAAGAGGUGGGAGAGAAGGAAAAGGGAAGUGAAAACACUGAAUUGGCAGCAAACCAGAUAAACUGGGCAGUUUCUGUGACUGAAAGGAAAGAAGAAAGGAUCCAGUAAUAAAAGACAAAAAUAAUCAAGUACA